rnacentral:rRNA from 1 species
UACGGAGGUUGCAAGCGUUGUUCGGAAUGACUGGGCGUAAAGGGAGCGCAGGCGGCCAAGUCAGUCUGAAGUGAAAGCCCGGGGCUUAACCCCGGAAUAGCUUUGGAUACUGCCUGGCUUGAGUGUGCGAUAGGAAAGCGGAAUUCCAGGUGUAGCGGUGAAAUGCGUAGAUAUCUGGAGGAACACCGGUGGCGAAAGCGGCUUUCUGGCGCAUAACUGACGCUGAGGCUCGAAAGCGUGGGGAGCGAACGGGAUUAGAUACCCGGGUAGU